rnacentral:rRNA from 1 species
UACGUAGGGGGCAAGCGUUGUUCGGAAUUACUGGGCGUAAAGCGCACGUAGGCGGCUUUGUAAGUUAGAGGUGAAAGCCCGGGGGCUCAACUCCGGAAUUGCCUUUAAGACUGCAUCGCUAGAAUCGUGGAGAGGUAAGUGGAAUUCCGAGUGUAGAGGUGAAAUUCGUAGAUAUUCGGAAGAACACCAGUGGCGAAGGCGACUAUCUGGGCUGAAACUGACGCUGAGGCGCGAAGGCUAGGGGAGCAAACGGG